rnacentral:rRNA from 1 species
GAUGAACGCUGGCGGCGUGCUUAACACAUGCAAGUCGAACGGAAAGGCUCCUGCUUGCAGGGGUACUCGAGUGGCGAACGGGUGAGUAACACGUGGGUGAUCUGCCCUGCACUUCGGGAUAAGCCUGGGAAACUGGGGCUAAUACCGGAUAGGACCACCUUUUGGAUGGUGUGGUGGAAAGUUUUUCGGUGUGGGAUGAGCUCGCGGCCUAUCAGCUUGUUGGUGGGGUAAUGGCCCACCAAGGCGUCGACGGGUAGCCGGCCUGAGAGGGUGUACGGCCACAUUGGGGCGGAGAUACGGGCCAGAAUCCUACGGGAGGCAGCAGUGGGGAAUAUUGCACAAUGGGCGCAAGCCUGAUGCAGCGACGCCGCGUGGGGGAUGACGGCCUUCGGGUUGUAAACUCCUUUCGCUAGCGACGAAGCGUUUUUGUGACGGUACCUGGAGAAGAAGCACCGGCUAACUACGUG